CUCUUUCUAUUCGGACUGGAAUGCCGGGCCAGGCUCCGGGGCGCGCCGCUGCGGCAGCCGCACCUCGCAGGUCCCCCGGCCGACCCCGACGCGGAAGCGGCGGCCCUCCUCGCCGUCGGGGAGCCAGGGAGCCGGGGACGAUCAGUCACAUAAGGCUUAGAGGAUCAAGGAUCCUGCCCAGAUGACUUACCGAAAUGUUACAGAUUAAGUUGGUGUGGUAACCUGGGCUGAGCACUCUGGGAGAGGAAGAGAAGAGAGAAGACAGGAAACAACUGAACUAUGACCAAUCCCAGCACGGAGGCCCAGAAAACUUUAAGAUUUGAGUAUUAAUGUCUCAAGGUCAGGAGCAACCUCAAGGCUAAAACUCAGAUCUCAGGACUCAAUUUCACAGAAGUUCCACUAUAAAGGCAAUAAUCUAAAGCUUUAAAUGAUAUGAAAAUUUUGUAAUAAGAGUUCAGUAUUUCUGCCAACAUUGGCGCAUGGAUUGCAAAGUUCACAGGAUUGAAAACACCAUCGACAUAAUGGAAAUUGAACAGCAUCUGAUUACUGAGUGCUAUAUCAGCAAGUUAAAAGGAUCUUUUGCAUACCUUUUAAUGGUAUAUAUCCUAAAACUGAAGUGUUCAAUAUAGACAUCCAGAUUGAAACUCAGGCAGUGAAUUACAUACACAACAAAUCAGUUGAACAUGGCAGAGCUUGUCAGACUUAUGAAAGAUUAAAUACAUUUUACAUUUCCACAAGUGUGGUAUUCACAGGUCUAAAUUGGAAAAUUCUUGGGUUGAAGAAGAAUAAUCAUAAUCUUAGCUUCACUCAUUGAGGAAACAUUAUUCAGGGAUGAUAAGAGGUAAAAUCUUAAAAAUAUUGACAAGCUAAUGAGAGAACUUUGAGGUAAGCUGAUAUGCAGGUAUAGUUAGGACUGGGAAAAGCAAGAAAAUGGAAGGAUGGGUUAGAGGGUGGCACUACACGGCUGAUAUAGUUUGGAUAUCUGUCCCCAUCCAAAUCUCAUGUUAAAUUGGAAUCCCCAAUUCUGGAGGCAGAGCUAGAAGGCAGAGCCUGGUGGAAGGUGUUUGCAACAUGAGGAAGGAUCCCUCAUGGCUUGGUGCUGUCUUAACAAUAAUGAGUGAGUUCUCCCGAGAUCUAGUCAUUUAAAAGGGUGUGGCACCUCCCCCCCCCCCCGCCCCCGCCAACUCUCUCUUGCUCCUACUCUGCCAUAUGAAUGUUUGUUCCCCCUUUGCCUUCAGCCAUGAUUAGAAGCUUCAUUAGGACUCCUCAGAAGUAGAUGUUGGUGCCAUACUUCCUGUAUAGCCUGUAGUACCAUGAACCUCUUCGCUUUAUAAAUUACCUGGUCUUGGGGAUUUCUUUAUAGCAAUGCAAGAAUGACCUAAUACAGAAAACUGGUACUGAGAAGUGAGUCAUUGCUGUAGAGAUACCUGAAAAUGUGGAAGCAGCUUUGGAACUUGGUGACAGGCAGAAGUUGGAAGAGUUUGUAGGGCUCAGAAGAAGACAGAAAGAUGAGGGAAAGUUUGGAAUUUCUUAGGGACUGGUUAAAUGGUUGUGACCAAAAUGCUGAUAGCUAGGACAUGAACAGAAUGCACCCAAGCACUUUGCUAAGGUCACACAAUGUUAACGCCUUAGCAAAGAGCUUAGCUGCCUUCUGUUCAUGCCCUAGGAAUCUGUGGAAGUUUGAACUUGAGAGUGAUGAUUUAGGGUAUCUGGCAGAAGAAAUGUCUAAGCAGCAAAGUGAUCAAGAAGUGGUGUGGCUGCUUCUAGCCACUUAUAUUCAGAUGUGGGAGCAAAGACAAAAGGUAGAACUUAUAUUUAAAAGGGAAGCAGAGCAAAAAAAGUUUGGAAAAUUUGCAGCCUGGCCAUGUGGCAGAGAAAGAAAAAAGCUUUUUCAGUAGAGGAAUUCAAGCAGACUGUGGAACAAUUACUUGCUAGAGAUGUUUGCAGGAUUAAAGGGGAGCCAAGUGCUACUAUCCAAGACAAUAGGGAAAAAGCCUUGAAAGCAUUUCAAAGAACUUCAGAGUGGCUUCUCCCAUCACAGGCCCAGAAGCUUAGGAGGAGAGAAUAGAUUCAUGGACUGGGCCCAGGGCCAUGGUACCUUGCACAGCCUUGGGACACUGCUCACCACAUCCUAGCUGCUCCUGUUCCCACUCUUGCCAUGGCUCAAAGGGGCCUACAUACAGCUUGGACUGCCACUUUGGAGAAUGCAAACAGUAAACCUUGGUAGCUUUCAUGUGGUGUUAAGCCUGCAGGCACACAAAGUGCAAGAAUCGUGGAUUCUUGGCAGCCUCUGCCUAGAUUUCAGAGGACAUAUGGAAAAGUCUGUUUGUCCAGGCAGAAGCCUGUUACAGGGGUGGAGCCCUUACAAAGAACCUCUACUAGGGCAGUAUAGAGGGGAAAUGUGGGGUUGGAGGCUCCAACAGGGUCACCGCUGGGGCACUGCCUAAUGGAACUAUACGAAGUGGGCCACUGCCCUCCAGACCUAAGGAUGAUAGAUCUACCAGCAGCUUGUAUUCUGCACCUGGAAAAGCCACAGGCACUCAACUGCAGCCCAUGAGCGCAGCCUUGGAUUCUUUACCCUGCAAAGCCAUAGGGGCAGGACUGCUCAAGGCCUGGGGAGCCCACCCCUUGUACCAGUGUGGCCUGGAUGUGGAACAUGAUGUCGAAGAUUAUUUUGGAACUUUAAGAUUUAGUGACUUCCCUACUGGGUUUUGGAGCUGUGUGGAUCCUGUAGACCCUUUCUUUUGGCCAAUUUCCCCCUUUUUGGGAUGGAAACAUUUACCCAAUCCCUAUACCCCCAUUGUAUCUUGGAAGUAAAUAAUUUGUUUUUGAUUUUACAGGCUUAUAGGUGAAAGUGACUUCCCUUGUCUCCAAUGAGGCUUUGGACUUUGGACUUUUGAGUUAAUGCCAGAAUGAGUUAAGAUUUUGGGGGCCUAUUGGAAAGGCAUGAUUGUAGUUUGCAAUGUGAGAAGGACAUGAGAUUUGGAGAGGCCAGAGGUGGAAUGGUAUAGUUCAGAUAUUUGACCCAGCCCAAAUCUCUUGUUGAAUUGUAAUCCCCAAUGCUGGAGGUGGGGCCUUCCUUGUAUGAUGUGUUUGGAACAUGCAGGCAAAUUCCUCAUGGCUUGGUGCUGUUUUCAUGAUAGUGAGUGAGUUCUCCUGAGAUGUGGUCAUUUAAAAGUGUAUGGCACCUCCCCCCACUCUCUAUCUCUCUUGCUCCUGCUCUGCUAUAUGAG
rnacentral:lncRNA from 1 species